UGGGGAAUAUUGGGCAAUGGGCGAAAGCCUGACCCAGCAACGCCACGUGGAGGAAGAAGGUUUUCGGAUCGUAAACUCCUGUCCUAAGAGACGAGGAAGAGACGGUAUCUUAGGAGGAAGCCCCGGCUAACUACGUGCCAGCAGCCGCGGUAAUACGCAGGGGGCAAGCGUUGUCCGGAAUGAUUGGGCGUAAAGGGCGCGUAGGCGGCUCGGUAAGUCUGGAGUGAAAGUCCUGGCUUUAAGUUGGGAAUUGCUUUGGAUACUGUCGGGCUUGAGUGCAGGAGAGGUUAGUGGAAUUCCCAGUGUAGCGGUGAAAUGCGUAGAGAUUGGGAGGAACACCAGUGGCGAAGGCGACUAACUGGACUGUAACUGACGCUGAGGCGCGAAAGUGUGGGGAGCAAACAGGAUUAGAUACC
rnacentral:rRNA from 1 species